rnacentral:rRNA from 1 species
AUUGAACGCUGGCGGCAGGCCUAACACAUGCAAGUCGAGCGGUAACAGGGGUAGCUUGCUACCCGCUGACGAGCGGCGGACGGGUGAGUAGUGCAUAGGAAUUUACCCGAUAGUGGGGGAUAACCUGGGGAAACCCAGGCUAAUACCGCAUACGUCCUACGGGAGAAAGGGGGCUUCGGCUCCCGCUAUCGGAUGAGCCUAUGUCGGAUUAGCUGGUUGGUGAGGUAAUGGCUCACCAAGGCGACGAUCCGUAGCUGGUCUGAGAGGAUGAUCAGCCACAUCGGGACUGAGACACGGCCCGAACUCCUACGGGAGGCAGCAGUGGGGAAUAUUGGACAAUGGGGGCAACCCUGAUCCAGCCAUGCCGCGUGUGUGAAGAAGGCCCUCGGGUUGUAAAGCACUUUCAGUGAGGAAGAACGCCUGAUGGUUAAUACCCGUCAGGAAAGACAUCACUCACAGAAGAAGCACCGGCUAACUCCGUGCCAGCAGCCGCGGUAAUACG